UACGUAGGGGCCGAGCGUUGUCCGGAGUUACUGGGCGUAAAGCGCACGCAGGCGGUCUGCUAAGUUUGGAGUGACAGUUGGUGGCUUAACUGCCAAAGUGCUUCGAAAACUGACAGACUUGAGGGCUUCAGAGGGACACGGAAUUCCGGGUGGAGUGGUGAAAUGCGUAGAGAUCCGGAGGAACACCAAAGGCGAAGGCAGUGUCCUGGGGAGUACCUGACGCUCAGGUGCGAAAGCCAGGGGAGCGAACGGG
rnacentral:rRNA from 1 species